GAUGAACGCUGGCGGCGUGCCUAACACAUGCAAGUCGAGCGAGAAGUAAAGAAAUGAAGCUUCGGUAGAUUUUCAUUAUGGAAAGCGGCGGACGGGUGAGUAACGCGUAGGCAACCUGCCCUGUACAGGGGGAUAGCCACCCGAAAAGGUGAUUAAUACCCCAUGAUGCAAGAGAUACACAUGUAUCACUUGUCAAAGAUUUAUCGGUAUGGGAUGGGCCUGCGUCUGAUUAGCUAGUUGGUAGGGUAACGGCUUACCAAGGCAACGAUCAGUAGCCGACCUGAGAGGGUGAUCGGCCACAUUGGAACUGAGACACGGUCCAAACUCCUACGGGAGGCAGCAGUGGGGAAUAUUGCACAAUGGGGGAAACCCUGAUGCAGCAACGCCGCGUGAAGGAAGAAGGCCUUCGGGUUGUAAACUUCUGUCCUAGGGGAAGAAACAAAUGACAUUACCCUUGGAGGAAGCCCCGGCUAACUACGUGCCAGCAGCCGCGGUAAUACGUAGGGGGCGAGCGUUAUCCGGAAUUAUUGGGCGUAAAGAGUGCGUAGGUGGCAUCUUAAGCGCAGGGUUUAAGGCAAUGGCUCAACCAUUGUUCGCCUUGCGAACUGGGGUGCUUGAGUGCAGGAGGGGAAAGUGGAAUUCCUAGUGUAGCGGUGAAAUGCGUAGAUAUUAGGAGGAACACCAGUGGCGAAGGCGACUUUCUGGACUGUUACUGACACUGAGGCACGAAAGCGUGGGGAGCAAACAGG
rnacentral:rRNA from 1 species